rnacentral:rRNA from 1 species
GUGCCAGCCGCCGCGGUAAUACGAAGGGGGCUAGCGUUGCUCGGAAUCACUGGGCGUAAAGCGCACGUAGGCGGCUUUUUAAGUCAGGGGUGAAAUCCUGGAGCUUAACUCCAGAACUGCCUUUGAUACUGGGAAGCUAGAGUCCGGAAGAGGUGAGUGGAACUGCGAGUGUAGAGGUGAAAUUCGUAGAUAUUCGCAAGAACACCAGUGGCGAAGGCGGCUCACUGGUCCGGUACUGACGCUGAGGUGCGAAAGCGUGGGGAGCAAACAGGAUUAGAUACCCUCGUAGUCC